AUGGGCGCAAGCCUGAUCCAGCAAUGCCGCGUGUGUGAAGAAGGCCUUCGGGUUGUAAAGCACUUUUAUCAGGAGCGAAAUGCCAUGGGCCAAUACCCCGUGGAGCUGACGGUACCUGAGGAAUAAGCACCGGCUAACUUCGUGCCAGCAGCCGCGGUAAUACGAAGGGUGCAAGCGUUAAUCGGAAUUACUGGGCGUAAAGGGUGCGUAGGCGGUUCGUUAAGUCUGUCGUGAAAUCCCCGGGCUCAACCUGGGAAUGGCGAUGGAUACUGGCGGGCUAGAGUGUGUCAGAGGAUGGUGGAAUUCCCGGUGUAGCGGUGAAAUGCGUAGAGAUCGGGAGGAACAUCAGUGGCGAAGGCGGCCAUCUGGGACAACACUGACGCUGAAGCACGAAAGCGUGGGGAGCAAACAGGAUUAGAUACCCUGGUAGUCCACGCCCUAAACGAUGCGAACUGGAUGUUGGUCUCAACUCGGAGAUCAGUGUCGAAGCAAACGCGUUAAGUUCGCCGCCUGGGGAGUACGGUCGCAAGACUGAAACUCAAAGGAAUUGACGGGGGCCCGCACAAGCGGUGGAGUAUGUGGUUUAAUUCGAUGCAACGCGAAGAACCUUACCUGGCCUUGACAUGUCCGGAAUCCUGCAGAGAUGCGGGAGUGCCUUCGGGAAUCGGAACACAGGUGCUGCAUGGCUGUCGUCAGCUCGUGCCGUGAGAUGUUGGGUUAAGUCCCGCAACGAGCGCAACCCUUGUCCUUAGUUGCCAGCACGUAAAGGUGGGAACUCUAAGGAGACUGCCGGUGACAAACCGGAGGAAGGUGGGGAUGACGUCAAGUCCUCAUGGCCCUUACGGCCAGGGCUACACACGUACUACAAUGGUCGGUACAGAGGGUUGCAAUACCGCGAGGUGGAGCCAAUCCCAGAAAGCCGAUCCCAGUCCGGAUUGGAGUCUGCAACUCGACUCCAUGAAGUCGGAAUCGCUAGUAAUCGCAGAUCAGCUAUGCUGCGGUGAAUACGUUCCCGGGCCUUGUACACUCCGCCC
rnacentral:rRNA from 1 species